CCUACGGGAGGCAGCAGUGAGGAAUAUUGGUCAAUGGACGCAAGCCUGAACCAGCCAUGCCGCGUGCAGGAAGACGGCCCUACGAGUUGUAAACUGCUUUUGUACGAGGGUAAACGGAGACACGCGUACCUUUUUGAAAGUACUGUAUGAAUAAGGAUCGGCUAACUCCGUGCCAGCAGCCGCGGUAAUACGGAGGAUUCAAGCGUUAUCCGGAUUUAUUGGGUUUAAAGGGUGCGUAGGCGGUCGGAUAAGUUAGAGGUGAAAUCUCGAGGCUCAACUUCGGAAUUGCAUCUGAUACUGUUCGGCUAGAGAGUAGUUGCGGUAGGCGGAAUGUAUGGUGUAGCGGUGAAAUGCUUAGAGAUCAUACAGAACACCGAUUGCGAAGGCAGCUUACCAAGCUACUUCUGACGUUGAGGCACGAAAGCGUGGGGAGCAAACAGGAUUAGAUACCCCGGUAGUC
rnacentral:rRNA from 1 species